rnacentral:rRNA from 1 species
UACAGAGGAUGCAAGCGUUAUCCGGAAUGAUUGGGCGUAAAGCGUCUGUAGGUGGCUUUUUAAGUCCGCCGUCAAAUCCCAGGGCUCAACUCUGGACAGGCGGUGGAAACUACCAAGCUGGAGUACGGUAGGGGCAGAGGGAAUUUCCGGUGGAGCGGUGAAAUGCGCAGAUAUCAGGAGGAACACCGGUGGCGAAGGCGGAUCUCUGGGCCAUUACUGACGCUGAGGAGCGAAAGCGUGGGGAGCGAACAGG